AUUGAACGCUGGCGGCAGGCCUAACACAUGCAAGUCGAGCGAGCGGCGGACGGGUGAGUAAUGUAUGGGGAUCUGCCCGAUAGAGGGGGAUAACUACUGGAAACGGUAGCUAAUACCGCAUACUAUAGGAUGAACCCAUAUGGGAUUAGCUAGUAGGUGGGGUAAAGGCUCACCAAGCCGACGAUCUCUAGCUGGUCUGAGAGGAUGACCAGCCACACUGGGACUGAGACACGGCCCAGACUCCUACGGGAGGCAGCAGUGGGGAAUAUUGCACAAUGGGGGCAAGCCUGAUGCAGCCAUGCCGCGUGUAUGAAGAAGGCCUUCGGGUUGUAAAGUUCUUUCAGCAGGGAGGCGUUACCCGCAGAAGAAGCACCGGCUAACUCCGUGCCAGCCGCCGCGGUAAUUC
rnacentral:rRNA from 1 species